rnacentral:rRNA from 1 species
CGGAAGGCCCUUCGGGGUACUCGAGUGGCGAACGGGUGAGUAACACGUGGGUGAUCUGCCCUGCACUUUGGGAUAAGCCUGGGAAACUGGGUCUAAUACCGAAUAUGACCAUGCGCCUCCUGGUGUGUGGUGGAAAGCUUCUGCGGUGUGGGAUGGGCCCGCGGCCUAUCAGCUUGUUGGUGGGGUAAUGGCCUACCAAGGCGACGACGGGUAGCCGGCCUGAGAGGGUGACCGGCCACACUGGGACUGAGAUACGGCCCAGACUCCUACGGGAGGCAGCAGUGGGGAAUAUUGCACAAUGGGCGCAAGCCUGAUGCAGCGACGCCGCGUGAGGGAUGACGGCCUUCGGGUUGUAAACCUCUUUCAGCACAGACGAAGCGCAAGUGACGGUAUGUGCAGAAGAAGGACCGGCCAACUACGUGCCAGCAGCCGCGGUAAUACGUAGGGUCCGAGCGUUGUCCGGAAUUACUGGGCGUAAAGAGCUCGUAGGUGGUUUGUCGCGUUGUUCGUGAAAACUCACAGCUUAACUGUGGGCGUGCGGGCGAUACGGGCAGACUUGAGUACUGCAGGGGAGACUGGAAUUCCUGGUGUAGCGGUGGAAUGCGCAGAUAUCAGGAGGAACACCGGUGGCGAAGGCGGGUCUCUGGGCAGUAACUNNNNCUGAGGAGCGAAAGCGUGGGGAGCGAANNNNNNUAGAUANNNNNNNAGUCCACGCCGUAAACGGUGGGUACUA